rnacentral:rRNA from 1 species
UACGUAGGGUGCAAGCGUUAAUCGGAAUUACUGGGCGUAAAGCGUGCGCAGGCGGCUUUGCAAGACAGAUGUGAAAUCCCCGGGCUUAACCUGGGAACUGCAUUUGUGACUGCAUGGCUGGAGUGUGGCAGAGGGGGGGGAUGGAAUUCCGCGUGUAGCAGUGAAAUGCGUAGAUAUGCGGAGGAACACCGAUGGCGAAGGCAAUCCCCUGGGCCUGCACUGACGCUCAUGCACGAAAGCGUGGGGAGCAAACAGG